GGGGGUGUAGCUCAGUGGUAGAGCUUUUGCCUAGCACACACAAGGCCCUGGGUUAGAUCCCCAGCACCACACA